CAGAGUUCAUGCCCGAAAGGGUAGACCUCCCACCCUUGUGUAUUAUUACUUUGUUGCUUUGGCGAGCUGCCUUCGGGCCUCGUAUGCUCGCCAGAGAAUACCAAAACUCUUUUUAUUAAUGUCGUCUGAGUACUAUAUAAUAGUUAA
rnacentral:rRNA from 1 species